rnacentral:lncRNA from 1 species
UCUUUGUUGGCUGUGGGAUCUUCUGGAAACAAAGCACAGAGCAAGGCUGAAGGAGCAAGACCUCCACAGUGCAGCUAAACAGCCAAAUGAGUCUCCCGCAAGUCAGGAAAACUGGAUAAAAAGAGGCCUAAAUGUGAGCAAGAGCUAUCAUGUUUGGCUUCAAGUAUGUCCUGACAACUCUGUAUAUGAUCUUCAGUGCCCUUUACCUGGCCGAAGUAUCCUCCCAGGUAACAUUCUUUGAACUCACCCAAGCAGUCACCAGCUCUUAUGCCAAUCUCGCUUGACAUUGGUUCCCAUAACAUAAGUGACAAUCUUAUGUGUAGGCUCCCUCCUCUCAUUGUAGUAUGCAUCUUCCCGCUCAGCUGCCUUUCAUUUAAUAGAAGCAGAGCUGGAGAAGUCAUUUUUUAACCAAGCUUAAACUAACAAAACAAAGGUAGAGACAUACCCUACUGUAGUAUAAUAAGAAAUGUAUUUGGUCUUUGGCCCUGGUUCCAGGCACAGAGGUCUUAAAACCCUUGUCAUUUCCUAAGGUGGAUAGUGUCAGAAUUGAAUUAUAGGACACCCAGUUGGUGUUCAUUAGAAAAUUGCUUGGUGUGUGGCAAACAAAACAAAACAAAACCCUACACAUCUGGUCACAGAAGUGUUCAGUGUGAGAGCAGAGUAGGAGAAAACAGUUUGUUGCCUUCACCUAAAACCAGAAAUGACAGGAUUCCUAAGCACGAAAUAUUUUGAAGACCAUUUGGCAUACCCUUCAACUCUGGAAUUCUGGCUCUGGCCUUGUCCUGGAGAAAUUGGCACUGUUCCCCUGUCAGUCAUUAAGCUUUUUCUUUUCUGAAUGGAACAUCACCCAAACUCUGUUCUAGGUAAUGGUUUUAUGUAUUACUUGAAAAAGGUUUCUAUUGACAAGUAAGUUUCAACACUGAGUUUCUAUAUUUCAGGAAUUUGCAGAGCAGUGAUGUCCCAAAGAAUUCUUUGUGAUGAUGAAAAGGUUCUAUAUUUGGCUAUUGAGCACUUGAAAUGAGGCUAGUGCAACUGAAGAAGAGCAUUUUAAAAAAUUGUUUUUAAUUUUAAUUAAUUUAAAUAGCCACAUGUGACUAGCUGCUUACCAUAUCAGAUAACCAUAGCCUUAGUGCCUUUAUCAUUCAAAAGUACAUUGUGAACUUGGAAGAUUCAAAUAAACAUACUGUGGUUACCAAGCAUAUUUGGCCAUAGAACAUUUAGAAAUAAUUCUGUUACAUGACUAGUAUUUUGAAGAAUGCAUUUCAAAUACUACGACAGAAAAGAAAUGUAAUUGCCUUCCUUCUUCCUACCACACUGUAGGCUUGGCUGAGAAUACAUGAUUCAGGAUCUUGGUAUGAUCCUGGAGUUGGUGUAAUGCAAGAGAGUGACCCUGGAAUACAGUGAGAGUCAUAUAAGUUGCAAUUGAAAAAUUAAAUUCCUUUUUGUGUAUGCCUUGGGUUGUAAACCCCUAAAAUGUAGGGUAGUUGUUUUUUAUUGUUGUUGUCUUGGUUUUGGUUUUGAUAGUUAGGAUACUGAGCAUUCUUGAUAUCACAUUUCCAAUUUUAAACAUUCUUACAAUUAUGUGUAAAUGCGGAGAACUUAGACAUUAGUCAGAAUUUGGUACAAUAUACAGUAGCCAAUUAUCACAGGAACUGAAAACAUUGGCAGAUAAGGCUGUGGUCUAGGAGAUAAAAUGCAGCCCACACUAGCGAGCAUCAGUAUUCAAGCCAACUCUUAAAUUAACCAAAUGCAGCCUAACACCUUCAUAUCACACAUUUCUUUUUUCCUCUCACUGUUAUCACUGAAAUCAUAAGUUAGAUGCACAGGAAAUAAUUCUUUCACUGAAUAAUGAAAACGUUGGGAUACAGAAUACCAACGAAGGAAAUGAACAAAUGCUGC